UAUGGCCGUACCACCCUGAACGCACCCANNCCUGUCUGAUCUCAGAAGCUAAGCAGGGUCGGGCCUGGUUAGUGCUUGGAUGGGAGAAAUAAAACCAAGAACACAGCAACAA
ensembl:rRNA 5S_rRNA 5S ribosomal RNA